GGAACUCUGAAACGAUUCCGUAUUUUUGGUCGAACUGGAACAUUCCUGUUCACAAGUGGUGCCUACGACACUUUUAUAAGCCCAUGUUGGUGAAAGGAGUAAAUAAGUUAGCAGCUCAGUUAGCCGUGUUCUUCCUGUCGGCGUUUUUCCAUGAGUAUUUAGUGAGUGUCCCUCUAAAGAUGUUUCGGCUCUGGGCGUUUCUGGGAAUGAUGGCACAGAUCCCGCUCGCCUAUUUUGUGGGCCGAUUCUUGAGGGGAAACUACGGCAACGCCGCCGUCUGGAUGUCGCUGAUCAUCGGCCAG